rnacentral:tRNA from 1 species
GAUCCUGUAGUAUAUUAAGUACAUCUCUUUUACAAGGAAAUAGUGUGCCGGAGGGGCUCUGGGAUUA